rnacentral:misc_RNA from 1 species
AAAAUGGUCCAUCACAACAGAGAACUCGCCAAUUGCAUGGCAGAACAUAUUAUCGCAUAAAAUCCUAACACAAACAAAUUAUAUAAGGAUACAAAUACAGACCAGGAAAGGAGAUUGUCAAAGCAAUUCCGCACAUACUUCCACAAGGAAUCCAGAUAAAGUUUGAUGAGCAAGAGGGAGGAGAUGAGACUUUCUUGGUCUAUCUACGGUAGCCACGGUCAGCUGACAACGAGCGAUCCCUGUGCCUCCUAUGUGAAUCAUAAUCAUCUCCCCUCCUACUAUAUGGAGACCGUGAUCUUCCACGCCGGUCCCUUGAAUAAUAAUCUCUGUCUCUGUCUCUGUCUCUGUCUCUGUCAUCCCAUCGGCGAGGUGAGUAGCUGCGGGACCGUCUGUGGCCACGACCUCGCCUAUCUCUCAGACCAUGAUACCUGCCAGGAGUUGGUGUCCUGCCACGAUUCCUUUUUGCCUUUUCCACAGUGAUUAAUCGUCCUUCAAGCACUGAACGAUUCAAAUACUUGAUACAGCGAUCAGCAUCAUCAACUGUUUCCAUGGUAACAAAAGCAAAUCCACGGGAUUCUCUGGUGCGAGGAUCUGUUACCAGAUGACACUCCACAACCUUCCCUUCUUUGUUAAAGAACUUCUCAAGAUCACUGUUGGUAACCCUAGUGGAUAACCCAGUUACAUACAAAUUAUUUCCAGGAUUUGCUGCUUCUGUAGAAUCACGACUCCUGGAUCGACUUCGACGAGACCUUGACAAGGACCUUGAUCGACGACCUUUAACAGGUGAAACUGAGGUGCGCGGUGAAGCAGAUCUCCCUUCCCUUAAGUAUGACAUCUCUUCGGAGCCGAUUCCGCUGAGUCAACUCAGAUAGCUGAGACCCGGUUUAUGGUGCGUUUGCUUGCCUCUGCCGAAAGAG